rnacentral:rRNA from 1 species
GACGAACGCUGGCGGCGUGCCUAAUACAUGCAAGUCGAACGAGAGCGACCGGUGCUUGCACUGGUCAAUCUAGUGGCGAACGGGUGAGUAACACGUGGGUAACCUGCCCAUCAGAGGGGGAUAACAUUCGGAAACGGAUGCUAAAACCGCAUAGGUCUUCGAACCGCAUGGUUUGAAGAGGAAAAGAGGCGCAAGCUUCUGCUGAUGGAUGGACCCGCGGUGCAUUAGCUAGUUGGUGAGGUAACGGCUCACCAAGGCCGUGAUGCAUAGCCGACCUGAGAGGGUGAUCGGCCACAUUGGGACUGAGACACGGCCCAAACUCCUACGGGAGGCAGCAGUAGGGAAUCUUCCGCAAUGGACGCAAGUCUGACGGAGCAACGCCGCGUGAGUGAAGAAGGUUUUCGGAUCGUAAAACUCUGUUGCUAGAGAAGAAUAAGUGCUAGAGUAACUGUUAGCGCCUUGACGGUAUCUAACCAGAAAGCCACGGCUAACUACGUG